UGACAAUGCCUAGCUUGGCAUGAUUUGGCAUUCUUAUUCAGCGCUGGAAUUAUAAUACUAUAAAUAAUACUAUUUAACUUUAUUUUUUAGUCUCAUUAUCAUCUAGUAACGUGUAGUAAGUUUCGGGUACUCGGGUUCGGGUCGAGUUUGAUUCUUGAAUACUGGAGUCCAAUAUUUUGGGCUCAUGGAGGUCCUAAUAGUGCAGUGUUAGACCAUUUGUUCUAGAAUGCAACGGACACUUUACCUUUGCUGGCAAGAAGCCCUGACCUCAGUCCAAUCUAGAACUUGUGAGAUCAUUUGUGUCAUAGAGCAAGAGCCACGCACUUAAAACUGUGCAACAACUGGAACAUGCCGUUUGUGAGAAAUAGAACGGCAUCACCAGAAGAGAACACUUAACAGUUCGCUUGAAUUUAAACUUGUGUAACUGACGUGAGAACUGAUCAAGUUUCUGUAACAACUCCUGCAAUUAAGAAAAUGACCACGGCAAAAUAUUUGCAGCAGAAAAAUAGUGUCCACAGGAUUUUCCACGGCAAUUUGACAGUUAACAUGUUUCCAACACUGGAUUGUGAGAGUUGGUACCUGACUGCAAACCCAGUACCUACCAGCCUUAUGUCCGGCAGCUUAACUACAACAACACUGAGUCCAGUUAACAUGGUACUCCAUACCUACCAGCCUUAAGACUGAUGGCUUCACCACUGUAUUUAACAAGUAAUAUUAAGUACAUAAAUGCCUAA